rnacentral:rRNA from 1 species
UACGUAGGGGGCAAGCGUUGUCCGGAUUUAUUGGGCGUAAAGAGCGUGUAGGCGGCCAGAUAGGUCCGUUGUGAAAACUGGAGGCUUAACCUCCAGCUGUCGAUGGAAACCAUCUGGCUAGAGUCCGGAAGAGGAGAGUGGAAUUCCUGGUGUAGCGGUGAAAUGCGCAGAUAUCAGGAAGAACACCCGUGGCGAAGGCGGCUCUCUGGGACGGUACUGACGCUGAGGCGCGACAGCGUGGGGAGCGAACAGG